GAUGAACGCUGGCGGCGUGCCUAAUACAUGCAAGUCGAGCGAACGGACGAGAAGCUUGCUUUUCUGAUGUUAGCGGCGGACGGGUGAGUAACACGUGGAUAACCUACCUAUAAGACUGGGAUAACUUCGGGAAACCGGAGCUAAUACCGGAUAAUAUUUUGAACCGCAUGGUUCAACAGUGAAAGACGGUCUUGCUGUCACUUAUAGAUGGAUCCGCGCUGCAUUAGCUAGUUGGUAAGGUAACGGCUUACCAAGGCAACGAUGCAUAGCCGACCUGAGAGGGAGAUCGGCCACACUGGAACUGAGACACGGUCCAGACUCCUACGGGAGGCAGCAGUAGGGAAUCCUCCGCAAUGGGCGAAAGCCUGACGGAGCAACGCCGCGUGAGUGAUGAAGGUCUUCGGAUCGUAAAACUCUGUUAUUAGGGAAGAACAUAUGUGUAAGUAACUGUGCACAUCUUGACGGUACCUAAUCAGAAAGCCACGGCUAACUACGUG
rnacentral:rRNA from 1 species